AACGUAGGUACCGAGCGUUAUCCGGCUUUACUGGGCGUAAAGCGUGUUCAGGCGGCCUGGCAAGUCGGGCAUGAAAUCUCUCGGCUCAACCGAGAGAGGCUGUCCGAUACUGCUGGGCUUGAGGACGGUAGAGGGUGGUGGAAUUCCGCGUGUAGUGGUGAAAUGCGUAGAUAUGCGGAGGAACACCAGUGGCGAAGGCGGCCACCUGGACCGUCCCUGACGCUCAAACACGAAAGCGAGGGUAGCGAACGGG
rnacentral:rRNA from 1 species